GUUUCCUUUUUUGUUUCCUGAGUUAAAGUUCUGUUCAAAUUCUCCAAGCUGGGAAAAGGCAGAAGCUUUGGCAUUGAAGAAUAGUCUAGAAUCUGUCACUCUUUCGUAACUGACUGCGGAGGAUCAGGCAUCAUUAUGGUGGUGGCGAGAUCGUAGAAAUGGGGAAGCGCCCCUAUGCCAAUAAGCCCAUAUGAGAUGGUAUUAUGUCACUCUUUCGUAACUGACUGUGGAGGAUCAGGUAUCAUUAUGGUGGUGGCGAGAUCGUAGAAAUGGGGAAGCGCCCCUAGGCCAAUAAGCCCAUAUGAGAUGGUAUUAACCCCUUAGCAGAGUAUUAAUGAUACAGUUCCAUUGUAUCCUCCUAAUAAAGACUUUAAAAGGGGGUGAGGUUUAGCACGGGAAUGGUAAGUUCUUUUCCAUGAUGGGAAAGUUUAACAAGAGCCAUAGAUUUAAUAGUAAUUUAUUCGGAUGGCUGAGAUCUAUUCCUUGGUAAAGGUUGUAACCUUUUGAUUGGUAUUGGGAAACAAAAAACUCUACCCCUCCAAAUGAUUUAAUAACAAUUUUCAUAAAAUCAAGUUUACUAUUUUUCCUGAAUCUACAACAACAUUUACGAAUAAAAUUUGAACAAGAUACACACUAAUAAGCAUCUCUAGAAAUUACAUGAACAAAAUUUACCCAGAAAAUAUGUGAUAAACAUAUGUCCAGAAUGACAUACGACUUCUAUGUCAUUAUCUUUUUCUUUUUUUAAUAAAACCAACAUUAAUUGAAAUUAAUGAGAAACAAGAUUUGCCAUAUCUUUUUGGAUAUGGAUUUGCAUGAGGGAAGUGCCGUGUCCAAGUCUUUCAGAAUCCCUAAAGCUUCCGCAAGUUACUUGAAUACUAAUGUAAGCAUACAAAAACUUAAACAUUGCCCGGACAAAAAAGGGUUGAUUAACUCCAUCUUUCAAAAGCUUAAACAUUUACCUAGAAAAAAUACAUUGACGUUGAUUCUGCCCAGAAAAUACAUAGUUUCAACGGUAUAAUAUCACAUAGAACAUAAUGUAACCGAAAAGUUUUUUUCGUUGGGUUUUUCGAUUUUAGCAGUAAAAU
rnacentral:lncRNA from 1 species